GAUGAACGCUGGCGGCGUGCCUAAUACAUGCAAGUCGAGCGAACGGACGAGAAGCUUGCUUCUCUGAUGUUAGCGGCGGACGGGUGAGUAACACGUGGAUAACCUACCUAUAAGACUGGGAUAACUUCGGGAAACCGUAGCUAAUACCGGAUAAUAUUUUGAACCGCAUGGUUCAAAAGUGAAAGACGGUCUUGCUGUCACUUAUAGAUGGAUCCGCGCUGCAUUAGCUAGUUGGUAAGGUAACGGCUUACCAAGGCAACGAUGCAUAGCCGACCUGAGAGGGUGAUCGGCCACACUGGAACUGAGACACGGUCCAGACUCCUACGGGAGGCAGCAGUAGGGAAUCUUCCGCAAUGAGCGAAAGCCUGACGGAGCAACGCCGCGUGAGUGAUGAAGGUCUUCGGAUCUUAAAACUCUGUUAUUAGGGAAGAACAUAUGUGUAAGUAACUGUGCACAUCUUGACGGUACCUAAUCAGAAAGCCACGGCUAACUACGUG
rnacentral:rRNA from 1 species